ACCUACGGGGGGCAGCAGUGGGGAAUAUUGCACAAUGGGCGAAAGCCUGAUGCAGCAACGCCGCGUGAAGGAAGAAGGCCUUUGGGUCGUAAAGCUCUGUCCUAAGGGAAGAAGGAAGUGACGGUACCUUAGGAGGAAGCCCCGGCUAACUACGUGCCAGCAGCCGCGGUAAUACGUAGGGGGCAAGCGUUAUCCGGAAUUAUUGGGCGUAAAGAGUACGUAGGCGGUUCUUUUAACGUAGGG
rnacentral:rRNA from 1 species